AUUGAACGCUGGCGGCAUGCCUUACACAUGCAAGUCGAACGGCAGCGCAGGAGCAAUCCUGGCGGCGAGUGGCGAACGGGUGAGUAAUGCAUCGGAACGUGCCUAGUAGUGGGGGAUAACUGCUCGAAAGAGCAGCUAAUACCGCAUACGACCUGAGGGUGAAAGGGGGGGAUCGCAAGACCUCUCGCUAUUAGAGCGGCCGAUGUCGGAUUAGCUAGUUGGUGGGGUAAAGGCCCACCAAGGCAACGAUCCGUAGCUGGUCUGAGAGGACGACCAGCCACACUGGGACUGAGACACGGCCCAGACUCCUACGGGAGGCAGCAGUGGGGAAUUUUGGACAAUGGACGCAAGUCUGAUCCAGCCAUGCCGCGUGCGGGAAGAAGGCCUUCGGGUUGUAAACCGCUUUUGUCAGGGAAGAAAUCUUCUGGGCUAAUACCCUGGGAGGAUGACGGUACCUGAAGAAUAAGCACCGGCUAACUACGUGCCAGCAGCCGCGGUAAGAC
rnacentral:rRNA from 1 species